rnacentral:SRP_RNA from 1 species
GCCGGGCAUGGUGGCUCACGCCUGUAAUCCCAGCACUUUGGGAGGCCGAGGCGGGUGGAUCACCUGAGGUCAGGAGUUCGAGACCAGCCUGGCCAACAUGGUGAAAACCCGUCUCUA